AUGAACGCUGGCGGCGUGCCUAAUACAUGCAAGUCGAGCGAACAGACGAGGAGCUUGCUCCUCUGACGUUAGCGGCGGACGGGUGAGUAACACGUGGAUAACCUACCUAUAAGACUGGGAUAACUUCGGGAAACCGGAGCUAAUACCGGAUAAUAUAUUGAACCGCAUGGUUCAAUAGUGAAAGACGGUUUUGCUGUCACUUAUAGAUGGAUCCGCGCCGCAUUAGCUAGUUGGUAAGGUAACGGCUUACCAAGGCAACGAUGCGUAGCCGACCUGGGAGGGUGGUCGGCCACACUGGAACUGAGACACGGUCCAGGCUCCUGCGGGAGGCAGCAGUAGGGAAUCUUCCGCAAGGGGCGAGAGCCUGACGGAGCAGCGCCGCGUGAGUGAUGAAGGUCUUCGGGUCGUAAAGCUCUGUUAUUAGGGAAGAACAAAUGUGUAAGUAACUAUGCACGGCUUGACGGUACCGGAUCAGAAAGCCACGGCUAACUACGUG
rnacentral:rRNA from 1 species